GGAAGGAUCAUUAUUGAAAUAGACCUGACGGGUUGUUGCUGGCUCUCUAGGGAGCAUGUGCACGCCUUGUCAUCUUUAUAUCUCCACCUGUGCACCUUUUGUAGACCCUUUCAGGGGUCUAUGUUGCUUCAUUUACCCCAAUGUAUGUUAAUAGAAUGUUGUGCCUAUUAUAAUGUAUACAACUUUCAGCAACGGAUCUCUUGGCUCUCGCAUCGAUGAAGAACGCAGCGAAAUGCGAUAAGUAAUGUGAAUUGCAGAAUUCAGUGAAUCAUCGAAUCUUUGAACGCACCUUGCGCUCCUUGGUAUUCCGAGGAGCAUGCCUGUUUGAGUGUCAUUAAUAUAUAUCAACCUUCUCUUCGGUGAAUGGUUUGGAUGUGGGGGUUUGCUGGCCUCUAAAGAGUUCAGCUCUCCUGAAAUGCAUCAGCGGAACAACCUGUUCAUUGGUGUGAUAAAAUAUCUACGCCGUUGAAUGUGAGGGACAGUUCAGCUUUCUAACAGUCCUUGGACAAAUCAUCAUUAAUGUGACCUCAAAUCAGGUAGGACUACCCGCUGAACUUAAGCAUAUCAAUAAGCGGAGGAAAAGAAACUAACAAGGAUUCCCCUAGUAACUGCGAGUGAAGCGGGAAAAGCUCAAAUUUAAAAUCUGGUGGUCUUUUGGCUGUCCGAGUUGUAAUCUAGAGAAGUGUUAUCCGCGCUGGACCGUGUACAAGUCUCCUGGAAUGGAGCAUCAUAGAGGGUGAGAAUCCCGUCUUUGACAUGGACUGCCAGGGCUUUUGUGAUGCGCUCUCAAAGAGUCGAGUUGUUUGGGAAUGCAGCUCAAAAUGGGUGGUAAAUUCCAUCUAAAGCUAAAUAUUGGCGAGAGACCGAUAGCGAACAAGU
rnacentral:rRNA from 1 species